AUCGUUCAUUUUGAAUAAUUCAAAACGGAAGUAAACGAAAGUUGAAGGAACGCAUG
ncrna:unclassified sequences Glutamine riboswitch